rnacentral:rRNA from 1 species
UACGUAGGGUGCAAGCGUUGUCCGGAAUUAUUAGGCGUAAAGAGCUCGUAGGCGGUCUGUUGCGUCGGCUGUGAAAACCCGGGGCUCAACUCCGGGCCUGCAGCCGAUACGGGCAGACUAGAGUUCGGCAGGGGAGACUGGAAUUCCUGGUGUAGCGGUGAAAUGCGCAGAUAUCAGGAGGAACACCGGUGGCGAAGGCGGGUCUCUGGGCCGAUACUGACGCUGAGGAGCGAAAGCGUGGGGAGCGAACAGG